CGGAAGAGAAAGCUAAAGCAGGAACCUUUGGAGGUAACUCCCGGCAAAAGAAUCAAUGCCCACAAACAGCUAUGCGGAUUACCCUAUGAUAUACAAGAUUUUGCUUACAAAAAGAACAAUGGAUCUCCUUCAUCCAACAUGAAUUCACGGUGGCAGAAUGUGUCGGAGGCUCGACAAGCCACUCUUCAACGCCACUCAACAAAUGCUGACGAAAACUCUGAACCGAUCCCAAAUGAUCUCUAUAUUGAGAUAUUCUUGAGGUUGCCGGUGAAGUCUAUAGCGACAUGUCGUUGUGUAUCAAAGCUCUGGGCCUCCUUACUUGGCCUUCCCUAUU